rnacentral:rRNA from 1 species
UGACGCCUGCCCGGUGCUGGAAGGUUAAUUGAUGGGGUCAGCCGCAAGGCGAAGCUCUUGAUCGAAGCCCCAGUAAACGGCGGCCGUAACUAUAACGGUCCUAAGGUAGCGAAAUUCCUUGUCGGGUAAGUUCCGACCUGCACGAAUGGCGUAAUGAUGGCCAGGCUGUCUCCACCCGAGACUCAGUGAAAUUGAACUCGCUGUGAAGAUGCAGUGUACCCGCGGCAAGACGGAAAGACCCCGUGAACCUUUACUAUAGCUUGACACUGAACAUUGAGCCUUGAUGUGUAGGAUAGGUGGGAGGCCUUGAAGUGUGGACGCCAGUCUGCAUGGAGCCAACCUUGAAAUACCACCCUUUAAUGUUUGAUGUUCUAACUCGGCCCCAUGAUCUGGGGUGAGGACAGUGUCUGGUGGGUAGUUUGACUGGGGCGGUCUCCUCCCAAAGAGUAACGGAGGAGCACGAAGGUUAG